UGGGGAAUUUUGGACAAUGGGCGAAAGCCUGAUCCAGCAAUGCCGCGUGUGUGAAGAAGGCCUUCGGGUUGUAAAGCACUUUUGUCCGGAAAGAAAUCCUUGGCUCUAAUACAGUCGGGGGAUGACGGUACCGGAAGAAUAAGCACCGGCUAACUACGUGCCAGCAGCCGCGGUAAUACGUAGGGUGCAAGCGUUAAUCGGAAUUACUGGGCGUAAAGCGUGCGCAGGCGGUUUGCUAAGACCGAUGUGAAAUCCCCGGGCUCAACCUGGGAACUGCAUUGGUGACUGGCAGGCUAGAGUAUGGCAGAGGGGGGUAGAAUUCCACGUGUAGCAGUGAAAUGCGUAGAGAUGUGGAGGAAUACCGAUGGCGAAGGCAGCCCCCUGGGCCAAUACUGACGCUCAUGCACGAAAGCGUGGGGAGCAAACAGGAUUAGAUACCCUGGUAGUCCACGCCCUAAAACGAUGUCAACUAGUUGUUGGGGAUUCAUUUCCUUAGUAACGUAGCUAACGCGUGAAGUUGACCGCCUGGGGAGUACGGUCGCAAGAUUAAAACUCAAAGGAAUUGACGGGG
rnacentral:rRNA from 1 species